rnacentral:rRNA from 1 species
CCCUUAGAUGUCCUGGGCCGCACGCGCGUUACACUGAUGCAUUCAACGAGCUUAUAACCUUGGCCGAGAGGCCUGGGCAAUCUUGUUAACGUGCAUCGUGAUAGGGAUAGAUUAUUGAAAUUAUUAAUCUUGAACGAGGAAUUCCUAGUAAACGCAGAUCAUCAAUCUGCAUUGAUUACGUUCCUGCCCUUUGUACACACCGCCCGUCGCACCUACCGAUUGGAUGGUCCGGUGAAGCCUCGGGAUUGUGGUUCUUGCCGCUUUAUUGUAGCGUGACCGCGAGAACUUGUCUAAACCUUAUCAUCUAGAGGAAGGUGAAGUCGUAACA